rnacentral:rRNA from 1 species
UACGUAGGGGGCAAGCGUUGUCCGGAUUUAUUGGGCGUAAAGAGCGUGUAGGCGGUUUGGUAGGUCCGCGGUGAAAACUCGAGGCUCAACCUCGAGACGCCGGUGGAAACCAUCAGACUAGAGUCCGGAAGAGGAGAGUGGAAUUCCUGGUGUAGCGGUGAAAUGCGCAGAUAUCAGGAAGAACACCCGUGGCUAAGGCGGCUCUCUAGUACGGUACUGACGCUGAGACGCGAAAGCGUGGGGAGCGAACAGG